rnacentral:rRNA from 1 species
UACGAAGGGGGCUAGCGUUGCUCGGAAUCACUGGGCGUAAAGCGCACGUAGGCGGAUCUUUAAGUCAGGGGUGAAAUCCUGGAGCUCAACUCCAGAACUGCCUUUGAUACUGGGGAUCUCGAGUCCGGGAGAGGUGAGUGGAAUUGCGAGUGUAGAGGUGAAAUUCGUAGAUAUUCGCAAGAACACCAGUGGCGAAGGCGGCUCACUGGCCCGAUACUGACGCUGAGGCACGAAAGCGUGGGGAGCAAACAGG